rnacentral:rRNA from 1 species
GACGAACGCUGGCGGCGUGCCUAAUACAUGCAAGUAGAACGCAGUUGCGAACGGGUGAGUAACGCGUAGGUAACCUGCCUCAUAGCGGGGGAUAACUAUUGGAAACGAUAGCUAAUACCGCAUACUUUGAGAUGGACCUGCGUUGUAUUAGCUAGUUGGUGGGGUAACGGCUCACCAAGGCGACGAUCCGUAGCUGGUUUGAGAGGAAGACCCGCCACACUGGGACUGAUACACGGCCCAAACUCCUACGGGAGGCAGCAGGGGGGAAUGUUGGACAAUGGGGGAAACCCUGAUCCAGCCAUCGCGCGGGUGGGAAGAAGGCCUUCGGGUUGUAAAGCAUUUUUGGCAGGAAAGCGGUACCUGCAGAAUAAGCACCGGCUAACUACGUGCCAGCAGCCGCGGUAAUAC